CCUACGGGAGGCAGCAGUGAGGAAUAUUGGUCAAUGGACGAGAGUCUGAACCAGCCAAGUAGCGUGAAGGAUGACUGCCCUAUGGGUUGUAAACUUCUUUUAUAUGGGAAUAAAAUGUUCCACGUGUGGGAUUUUGUAUGUACCAUAUGAAUAAGGAUCGGCUAACUCCGUGCCAGCAGCCGCGGUAAUACGGAGGAUCCGAGGGUUAUCCGGAUUUAUUGGGUUUAAAGGGAGCGUAGGUGGAUUGUUAAGUCAGUUGUGAAAGUUUGCGGCUCAACCGUAAAAUUGCAGUUGAAACUGGCAGUCUUGAGUACAGUAGAGGUGGGCGGAAGUCGUGGUGUAGCGGUGAAAUGCUUAGAUAUCACGAAGAACUCCGAUUGCGAAGGCAGUUCACUGGACUGCAACUGACACUGAGGCUCGAAAGUGUGGGUAUCAAACAGGAUUAGAUACCCCGGUAGUC
rnacentral:rRNA from 1 species